rnacentral:misc_RNA from 1 species
AUUCAACUAUAGUUACUUGGUGCAUUUAAUAUGAAAAUGAGUAUAACAAUAUUUAUAUUUAUAAAUUUAUAAAAUUAAUUAAAUUAUGUAUAUAAAGUACAUAAAUUUAGAUGUAAAUAGUUAAUUUAAUAAUUGAUAGACUAAUUUUCAUAUAAAUUCAAACAGAAAAUUGACUUAAGGCAUCUAACUAUUCGGUCGUUAUCAUUAAAUUACGAUCGUAAUCCCUUUUUUCCGUGAAAUCAGGAAAAUAAGUGAUAUUAUAUAUUUUUAAAACACAGAAUUUACUAAUUACACCGAAUUUACUUGAUUUUAUGCAAGGGAG